rnacentral:tRNA from 1 species
UCUAAUAUGGCAGAAUAGUGCAAUAAUUUUAAGCAUUAUAAAUAAUUGAGAUUUAUUAGAA